GAUUGAACGCUGGCGGCAGGCCUAACACAUGCAAGUCGAACGGUAACAGGAAGCAGCUUGCUGCUUUGCUGACGAGUGGCGGACGGGUGAGUAAUGUCUGGGAAACUGCCCGAUGGAGGGGGAUAACUACUGGAAACGGUAGCUAAUACCGCAUAACGUCGCAAGACCAAAGAGGGGGACCUUAGGGCCUCUUGCCAUCGGAUGUGCCCAGAUGGGAUUAGCUAGUAGGUGGGGUAACGGCUCACCUAGGCGACGAUCCCUAGCUGGUCUGAGAGGAUGACCAGCCACACUGGAACUGAGACACGGUCCAGACUCCUACGGGAGGCAGCAGUGGGGAAUAUUGCACAAUGGGCGCAAGCCUGAUGCAGCCAUGCCGCGUGUAUGAAGAAGGCCUUCGGGUUGUAAAGUACUUUCAGCGGGGAGGAAGGGAGUAAAGUUAAUACCUUUGCUCAUUGACGUUACCCGCAGAAGAAGCACCGGCUAACUCCGUG
rnacentral:rRNA from 1 species